rnacentral:rRNA from 1 species
UACGUAGGGUGCGAGCGUUGCCCGGAUUUAUUGGGCGUAAAGGGCGCGUAGGCGGCUCGGCACGUCCGUUGUGAAAUCGCCCGGCUCAACUGGGCGGGGUCGGCGGAUACGGCCGAGCUGGAGCAAGGCUAGGGGGUAAUGGAAUUCCCGGUGUAGUGGUGGAAUGCGUAGAUAUCGGGAGGAACACCAGUGGCGAAGGCGGUUACCUGGAGCUUUGCUGACGCUGAUGCGCGAAAGCGUGGGGAGCGAGUCCGG